rnacentral:sRNA from 1 species
GGGAGAUCUGUGACAAGGAGCGCGAGUGCCUCAUGAAGAAGCAGGAGCUCCUUCGAGACCGGGAAGCAGCCCUGUGGGAGAUGGAGGAGCACCAGCUGCAGGAGAGGCACCAGCUGGUGAAGCAGCAGCUCAAAGACCAGUACUUCCUCCAGCGGCACGAGCUGCUGCGCAAGCAUGAGAAGGUGAGGCUGCCGGCGGCGCGGGGCUCGGAUCUGCUGCCGGUCCAACCUGGGAGAGCCAUGAGGCUGUAUGUGAUGGGGCACUUCUUGGGUGCACAUUUUGGAUGACAAGCGCCCCCAAGAGGAGCCAGGGCUGGCUGCAGUGAGGCCCCAAGAGCUUCUCCAGGGGUGUCCUGCUUCAGCUCAAGGGACUAGGAAUAGGGGAAACCAUGCAGAGAAGCCGAUGGCCCAAGCAGCUUCCUCGCUGACUCUGUUACUUGCUAUGUAUGUCUUUCCUUUCUUUCUUUCUUUCUUUUCUCUUUCUUUCUUUCU